GCCAACGGCCAUACCACCCUGAAAGCGCCCGAUCUCGUCUGAUCUCGGAAGCUAAGCAGGGACGGGCCUGGUUAGUACCUGGAUGGGAAACCGCCUGGGAAUCCAAGGUGUUGUAGGCU
rnacentral:rRNA from 1 species